UAGCUUACGAAAGCUUAUGCUCAGAUAAAUGUUAGUCUCUAAGGUGCCACAAGUACUCCUUUUCUUUUUGCGAAAACAGACUAACACGGCUGCUACUCUGAAACAUGUUAUUCCUGGCAGUAUCUGCAUCUGCAAGGUUUGGAUUCCCCUCUGCGGAAGGUAGUUGCUGCUAAAUGCUAUCUUUGGAGAUGCCAGCUUUCACUUAGUGGCAAAUGGGAUUUGAUCUCUGCUUCACACGAAGACAGGGCCAUCAUUGGAUAAAAGAGAAACAAAGAUAGAAAGGGGAAAGAGUUGGAAUGCAAGUUCUGAGACUGGGCGUUCAGAGCCACCAUUUCCAGUGCCUAGGAAAAUAAGCUUGUCAUCUUGCCAUUCUCACUAUUGCCAUCCACAUGAGUCACACCUCACUGCUUUUCUUCUGCCUGGAGUCUUGUCUUGGGGGGUUUUUUGGCUUUGCAAUUCACCUCUUGAAGCUUCCAUGUUUAAUCAUUAUUUCUAGUCUGUAUGACUGUAAAGAGAGCUUUCUGAACUUAAGAUAGCACAGCCUUGACUCAAUAGGCCUGCAGGUAAGGUUGAAACAAUGGCUCGAAGCAGGUGCCAUGAACGCAUUCAAUUGGAUGUUAAGUCAGAAAUUAUUGAUCAUAUUUUAAAUAGCAACACACAAUAUUUCACUGCAGAGAAAUAUCAAGCUAAUGUUUUUAUUCCAUGUAGCUGAAUGUUGCAUACAUGUGAAAGGAUACUGCUAUAAGCUUUCAAGUUCAACCAGAUUUAUUUUUUGUGUACUGUGUAUAUGAAUUAACUCCAAUCCACCAUCACAUCCUGCAGAAUUACAACAUCUUGCCUUCCAGAAAGUACUUGGUGAAUUGAGUGAUAAUAUUUUAAAAUUUUCAUUAUAACCAGAUGGCUAAUUUCCCCCAGCCCUUCAUUUCAGUCUCCAAUCUUUGAAAUAUGCCCCCACUACUUAACCUUACAGAACUCAGGUCCCAGUUGUCUCUGAACUAGACCAAGGAUUUAAUGCCCCAAUGUGAUGUCCUGUUAGAGGAUCUGUGCUAACCUGCAAGAAGUAUUCUCUUUGUUAGGUAAACAAAGUGCUGAUCACUGUCGCUAUAGAUCCCACAAUAUUUUUCACAAGAACAAGUAUGUUAAUUUCAUCAUCCUGGCCAAACUUCAGUUUAAUUCUGUCUCCCUAAAUUUCUCCCUUUGCUUCUGUGUUACAGAAAUUAUUCUGUCAUUGCAGACUUGUUUUUCUUGAAGGGAAUGAAAACCAUGUCUAUAGUCUAUACAUCAUUUCCGCCAAUAGAUGGUGCUAGGCGACAGUCAAACAUUUAUUUGGCUUCUAAUUUCCCAACACCCACAAACUUUCUUUGACAUGGGCUAACAAAAGAUAAAAUCCACAUUACAGGCUGCAGCUGAAGGUGCUGAUUAGAAAGUCUUAAAGAUAAUGUUCCAAUUUACUUUCUCUCUGUAGGGAAAAAGGUAGUAAGAAACAUACUUCAAAAUAUGAGUCUGUAACUAUGGUAUGCGUUUACUUACUGCUUUUCAUUCAUAGAUCUCAAAAUGCAUUUAAAAAUAAGCAUCAUCCUGUUUUAUAAAUUAAGUAAUUGAAGUACCAAGAGGUUAAGACCCAAGUUUCCGAAAAUGGCCCCUAAUUUUAGGUGCCUCAGUUUUUGGGUGUGCAAUUUAAACACUUGGGGCUGUCUUUUUGGUCACACUGAGUACCCACUACUCCAGGUGAAGUCAGUGGAACAUGCAGGUUCUCAGGAGUUGUGAGAAAUCAGGGGCCACUUUUGGAAAUCUGACCUAAGUGACUUGCUCAGUUAAAAGUCGCUGAUUUAGUCCUUAUCAGCAAGGGAAAGAGAGAGUGAGUAAACCAAACUAACCUUCUACAUGCAUAAUGUUAUCUUUUUUUAAAGACACAAUUCAAACUUAAUGCAAACCCCCAAAUCAGAACAAUCUCAUGAUGGGGAAAAUUUGGACCCGGAUUCAAAUGUGAAAAUUCCAGCACAGGCUCAUUUCUAAUUCGGAUAUGACGAAAGUGGGGGAGUAUAUGCUGAUCAUUCAAAUAAAUGUAAAAGGAAAAAAACCCAAGAUGCUGUUGAAAAAUGAAUUCAAAAUUAUUUGUAUAAAUUAACAUUGUAGCAUCUCCUCAUUCCAUCAUAAGCCAAAGAGAAAAAGAUGGUCAUGCACACGUGCCUGAUUCCCACAAUAACUAAACAUGGCCACGGUUCUUUUUGCAAAAAUCAACAUCUCACAGUAGAGAAAUUAUCUUGACGUGGGCCUUUGACUUAGACUUUAAAAAGAUCAUCUUUCCAUCUGCACACAAUUCAGAAUUUGCAUUUGACAGACACGAGAACUCCGCAUAACCUGAACAGUAGAAAAGGAUUACAGUAACUGCAGCAAAAUUUAGGAAAGUUUGAGCCAUCCAAAAAAACCGAAAAAACAACCCUCAAACAUAAAUAAAACUAAAAUGCCCUGCUCUAAACUGAGAUGAGAAAGACAUGGGUGUUUUAGCAGCAGUAAUAGUAGUAAUUUAUUUUAUGGUAGUGUCUAAUGACUCCGAGGCCCCAUUGUGCAACAUGCUGUACAAACAAAAACAAGAGAUUGUUCCUGUCCCACAGAGUUUACAAUCUAGAAAAAGACAAAACAGACAAAGGAAGGACUAAUAUCCCCAUUUUACUGAGGGGAUACAAUGAGACCAAAUGAGCCACCCAAAGUCAUAAGCAGAGCUGAGAACUGGACCCAGAUUUCCUGAAUCCAACGCCAGGCCUCACCGUGACACCAUCCGCCCUCAGCGUAUGAUGAGUGUUAUAACAAUUCUGCUGCAUUUCCACAGCAGCCAAAACCUGAGACAGAGGAGGCAACAACUCCUCUGAGGGCCCAAUCCUGAUAGCACUAAGCACCUAUC